rnacentral:rRNA from 1 species
GAUUAUGGCUCAGGAUGAACGCUAGCGACAGGCUUAACACAUGCAAGUCGAGGGGCAGCAUUGGAGUAGCAAUACUCAGAUGGCGACCGGCGCACGGGUGAGUAACACGUAUCCAACCUGCCGCUUACUCGGGGAUAGCCUUUCGAAAGAAAGAUUAAUACCCGAUGGUAUAAAGAGUUCGCAUGUUCUCUUUAUUAAAGAAUUUCGGUAAGCGAUGGGGAUGCGUUCCAUUAGAUAGUUGGCGGGGUAACGGCCCACCAAGUCUACGAUGGAUAGGGGGUUCUGAGAGGAAGGUCCCCCACAUUGGAACUGAGACACGGUCCAAACUCCUACGGGAGGCAGCAGUGAGGAAUAUUGGUCAAUGGACGAGAGUCUGAACCAGCCAAAAGUAGCGUGAAGGAUGACUGCCCUAUGGGUUGUAAACUUCUUUUAUAAGGGAAUAAAGUGAGGGACGUGUCCCUUUUUGUAUGUACCUUAUGAAUAAGGAUCGGUUAACUCCGUGCCAGCAGCCGC